rnacentral:lncRNA from 1 species
UGUUUUUGGUAUUAUUUUUUUUCUAGGACACAUCAUGCAUGUUUCUUGUGUUUUUGCUAAUCAAAAUACCAAAGAGGUCGGCAUAGGAUUCAAAGAGAAAAUCAGUGUGUGCUAGAUUCGUACUAGAAGUAGGAAAGCAGUUUUUCUUCUGUAUAAUCCUAAGUGAUUUCAAUAGGUUUCUAGCCCACAACCUAUUCUCUGUAAAUAGUCUUGAUAAGAGUUCUUAAACUGUAGCAAGCACACAAGGGGUAGAGAACUAAAGAGAGUGAUAGAGAGAUCAAAAGCUAGGGUUUGGGGAUUAGCAUAGGGAUUUCAGAAAGUUCUUGUAAUCAAUUGUUCUUCUUGAUAGUGCUAGUUGGAAGUGUGGGCACACGAGAAAGGAUAAGAUUAGGAAUGAGGAUAUCCGAGGUAAAGUAGGAGUAGCCGAAAUUGAAGGAAAGAUGAGAGAAAAUCGGUUACGGUGGUUUGGACAUGUGCAAAGAAGGCCUACUGACGCUCCGAUUAGAAGAUGCGACUAUGGGACAGAGGUUCAGGGCCGAAGGGGUAGAGGAAGACCUAGGAAAACUUUGGAAGAGACUCUAAGAAAAGACUUAGAGUACUUGGAUCUAACGAAGGACAUGACACAGGACCGAGCACAAUGGCGUUCUAAGAUUCAUAUAGCCGAUCCCACUCAGUGACUUGGAUUUUCCAAGUCUCCAACCGAGAAGUUUUUCCUCACUCGAAAAAAUUAAGGGAACACUACCCCAACCUACAUGCUCCACUCAGAAAGCUUCAACAUACAAGCUUCAACAAAAGAAAAUUCAAAGAACUUAGCGAAGAAGGCUUUGGUGUAUUUAACACAAUACGUUGAAAUGAAGGAAAACUUAUUUAUUGAUAUCCCCGAUAAGCUACAAAUAUGUACAUAUACAUGAGUCAAAAUAAACAAACAAGAUGGAGUCUUUACAAAGGUUGCUUAGGAGAAGUCUCAGCAGUCGGUAGAGCCCCAGAAAGAGAAGGCAUCGGAGGGGGAUCAUUCGGAGCCUCAGUACUGGACAGAACCCUAGAAGGAGGAGGCAUCAGAGGUUGAUCAUUUGGAGCUUCAUUACGCGGUACAGCCCCAGAAGACGAAGGCAAUAAAUGCCUUUGGAACAAACCCACAAAUCUCUGAUGAUCAAGUAAAAAACCUGACCAUCAGUUUCCUUCAUCUGGUCAAGCUUCCUCUUCAUGUUUGUAGCAUAGUCAUGUGCGAGCCGGUGCAACUGUUUAUUCUCAUGCUUGAGCCCUCUAAUCUCCUGUUUGAGACUCAUCACUUCGGCCGCCAAUGAUUCAACUUGGCGGGUUCGAGCAAAUAGGCGUUGGGCCAUAUUAGACACAGAACCUGCACACUGAACACUGAGAGCCAGUGAAUCCUUAACAGCUAACUCAUCAGACCGUUUGGAAAGUAGUCUGUUAUCUUUGGGAGUGAGAAGGUUCCUGGCCACCACCGCAGCGGUCAUAUCAUUCUUCAUCACGAAAUCCCCAACGGUAAGAGGACCAGUAGGGGAGACGAAGGAUGGGCGCCAUAUGUUGUCUGGAGAAGGCGGGGCUGCCUCUUCAACAAGGUUCAAGUCAAAACGACGGUCGGAGGGGCCAGACAUUUUCAAAGGUAUUGAAGAGAGAAGAGGUCGGACAAAUCAAGAUCUUAGAAGUGCAAGAAUGGAGCUUCUACUGGUGGAGAUUCAAGUGUGCUUUGGAACUUAAUGCCAGCCCUAUAAAAAGCUGCACUCGACGGAGCUUCAGACAUCGAAGAGGCGCCUGCUCAGAAAUCGAAGAGGCGUUUGCUUUCUCAAAAGUCGGGCUGCUUAGAGACCACGAGGGUUGAUCUCAUAAAUCGAAGAGGUGUUUGCUUUCUCAAAAGUUGGGCUGCUCAAAGACCACGAAAGCCGAUCUCAGAAAUCGAAGAGAGGCGCUCGCUUCCUCAAAAGCUGGGCUCCUCAGAGACCACGAGGGCCGAUCUCAGAAAUCGAAGAGGCACCUACUUUUCCAGCCUUGUCAGCACCUGUCACACGCACACUCAGCUUUGCGGAAAUUAUGGGUAUUCUGUCGAAGACUUCUGGGGAAGUAGAAAACACAUGAAUCUUACUGUCCAAUCACCCACUUCCCACACGCAGCAAUAGCUCAUGGGUACCACAGAUAACUUUGCCAAAGUUCUCUGCCAAAGUUGAGCACGUGAAGCUUGCAGCUCCCACUACAUCGCUCUGACCAAGAAGGGUAAAAGAAUAGCAAAGAAAAGCACUAACAAAGUUUAGACCCAUAAAUUUUGAAGGUCUAGCUACCAUAUUAUUACCCACAAGGGUAAAGGAACAGUACCACUGUUGGAUAAUUGGAAAGUCCCUGUGUGUCAACCUCUGUGCCUCGUGGCAAGGUAGACUAGCAAACAUGCCCAACCUUUACUCACAUUCGAGAAAACACUCCCAAUAAGAUUGCUUGCUCCAAAAUCGAAGAGGCACCGUUCUCCGAAUCUCGAGAGCCAGACUCCCAACAUGACUACUUUCUCAAAAAUCGAAGAGAGGGUAAAGGAACAGUACCAUUGCUGGAUAAUUGGAAAGUCCCUGUGUGUCAACCUCUGUGCUUCGUGGCAAGGUAGACUAGCAAACAUGCCCAACCUUUACUCACAUUCGAGAAAACACUCCCAACAAGAUUGCUUGCUCCAAAAUCGAAGAGGCACCGCCCUCCGAAUCUCGAGAGCCAUACUCCCAACAUGAUUACUUUCUAAAAAAUCGAAGAGACACUGCUCCCCGAAUCUCGAGAGCCAGACCCCCAGCAUGAUUGCUUUCUCAAAAAUCGAAGAGGCAUCGUUCUCCGAAUCAAUCGAAGAGGCGCUCGCUUUCUCAAAAGCUGGGCUGCUCAGAGACCACGAGGGCCGAUCUCAGAAAUCGAAGAGGCACCUUCUUUUCUAGCCUUGUCAGCACCUGUCACACGCACACUCAGCUUUGCGGAAAUUAUGGGCAUUCUGUCGAAGACUUCUGGUGAAGUAGAAAGCACAUGAAUCUUACUGUUCAAUCACCCACUUCCCACACGCAACAAUAGCUCAUGGGUACCACAGAUAACUUUGUCAAAGUCUCUGCCAAAGUUGAGCACGUGAAGCUUGCAGCUCCCACUACAUCGCUCUGACCAAGAAAGGUAAAAGAAUAGCAAAGAAACAGCACUAACAAAGUUUAGACACAUAAAUUUUGAAGGUCUAGCUACCAUAUUAUUACCCACAAGGGUAAAGGAACAGUACCACUGCUGGAUAAUUGGAAAGUCCCUGUGUGUCAACCUCCGUGCUUCGUGGCAAGGUAGACUAGCAAACAUGCCCAACCUUUACUCACAUCCGAGAAAACACUCCCAACAAGAUUGCUUACUCCAAAAUCGAAGAGGCACCGCCUUCCGAAUCUCGAGAGCCAGACUCCCAACAUGAUUACUUUCUCAAAAAUCGAAGAGACACUGCUCCCCGAAUCUCGAGAGCCAGACCCCCACCAUGAUUGCUUUCUCAAAAAUCGAAGAAGCAUCGUUCUCCGAAUCUCGAGAGCCAGAUACCACAUACCACUUUUUCAAAGUGCUCUGACAGAGUUAAAACAUGUGAAGCUGGCAGCUCCCACUACCGUGCUAUGACCAAGCAGGGUAAAGGAAUAGCAUUACUACUUGUUGUUAGGGAGACUCCUAUAUAUGUCGACCUCCAUCCCCAACGGACAGGCAGACCUGCAAAAAUGCUCAACCCUUCCUCAUAUCUGAGAGGGCACUCCCAACGAAGCCUUUCGAAAUAUUCAGAUUUCUUUCCCCCCGAUAAUACCUCUGCAAACAAGCUAUACUAGAGCAAGAAUAUCUCAUAUCAUCAGGGUUAAAAGCAAGAGUAUCCCAUAUCAUGCUUUUUCCCUGUCUUUUCCUUUGGCCUUGUUUUUACCUGCAAGACAAGGAGAAAGAGAGCAAUCAGUCAGCACUUGAAAUCAAGCUCCCAGUCAGGAACUGACAGCCUGGAACCCCUUACCUGAUUACUUACCUGGCAUUGCUCUCGAGUACUCAUCUUCAACAUCUUAUGUUGCCAGGGAAGAUACCGCAUCUGCUUGAGGAACAGAUAGGGCAAGUGCGAAGGAUACAAGGAAGCAUGUGGAGACAAGCGUAACAGCACACGUGCCGAUCCAUCCAUUACUUUGUCAAAAGCAAAAGUAUCCCAUAUCAGCAGGGUCGAACGUACUCUAGAUUUGAUGGACUUGUUUUGACCCUCAAAUUCUUCAGUCGGCCUUAUACUCUGGAGGAAACCAGAAAACCCUCCAGCUCAGUUCAAGAAUAAGCCUGUGGAAAGUUACUUCUUCAAAAGCAAAAGUAUCCCAUAUCAUCUCUUCUCAUUUUUCUUCUCUUUAUCCUUCAUGCUGCUGCAAGAUGGGGAGAAGGUGAACAAUCAGCCGGAGCUCUGAUUGCUUACCUUGUCUGUCACCUCUUUCAGCAAAUCCCCUAGCUCGGCGACUUGGGGGACUCCUACUACAUGGUUUGUAUCGCGCUUGACCAAGCCUGAAACUACAAGUAAGCUUCAAGUGAAAAUUGAUACAUUACCUUGUGCAUCUCCACCAGUUAAAGAUACCACCCCUGGAUGGAGGAAGAGUACUUCCAGAGAAGCUGCCACAUCUACCUAUGAGACAGAUAAGGCAAGUCAAGAUGAUACCACACUCCGAUACUUAGAAGUUUCGUGAUUACGAGAUCAUUCUCCCACAAUAUUUCCUAAUGUCAUUUGUACUCUAAUGUCAUUUGUACUAAAUCAUUCACUUGUACUCACUAAAGGAGAGCUUGAACCUAUGUACUUGUGUAAACCCUUCACAAUUAAUGAGAACUCUUCUAUUCCGUGGACAUAGCCAAUCUGGGUGAACCACGUACAUCUUGUGUUUGCUUUCCUAUCUCUAUCCAUUUAUAUACUUAUCCACACUAAUGACCGGAGCAAUUUAGCGAAGAUCACAAAAAGCGACCGUUUUCGCUACCUAGGAUCUAUCUUACAAGAGAACGGAGAAUUAGAUGGAGAUCUCAACCAUAGAAUACGAGCUGGAUGGAUGAAGUGUAAGAGUGCAUCCAGCAUGUUGUGUAACCGUCGUAGGCCACUGAAGCUCAAGGGAAAAUUUUAUAAGACGACAAUAAGGCCAGCGAUGUUGUAUGGCACAGAAUGUUGGGCGGUGAAACAUCAACACGUACACAAAAUGGGUGUAGCAGAGAUGAGGAUGCUUCGUGGGAUGUGUGGGCACACGAGAAAGGAUAAGAUUGAGAAUGAGGAUAUCCGAGGUAAAGUAGGAGUAGCCGAA